rnacentral:rRNA from 1 species
AAAAGCUCAACUUUGAAAUCUGGUACUUUCAGUAUCCGAAUUGUAGUCUCAAGAAGUGUUUUCUGUGCCGGUCCAUGUAUGAGUCUGUUGGAACACAGCGUCAUAGAGGGUGACAACCCCGUUCAUGACAUGGAUCCCGGUGCUUUGUGAUACACUCUCGAAGAGUCGAGUUGUUUGGGAAUGCAGCUCAAAUUGGGUGGUAAAUUCCAUCUAAAGCUAAAUAUUGGCGAGAGACCGAUAGCAAACAAGUACCGUGAGGGAAAGAUGAAAAGCACUUUGGAAAGAGAGUUAACAGUACGUGAAAUUGUUGAAAGGGAAACGAUUGAAGUCAGACGUGCGUGAUGCGGUUCAGCUUUAGUUCGCUAGAGUGUACUCCGUAUCUUUGCAGGCCAACAUCGGUUUUGUUAGUCGGAUAAAGGUUUGAGAAAUGUGGCAC